CUGAGUUUUGAAAAAGACUCCCAAACCCUGUGAACCUACCUAUUGUUGCCUCGGUAGGUGGCCUCGUUGCGCUGUAGGAAUAAAUCCCUAUAGUACAGUGGGUGCACCCUGCCGAAGGCCCCUAUAAACUCUUUGUAUUUUGAACAUUGGAUCUUCUGAAGUGGAAAAAAAAAAUAGUUA
rnacentral:misc_RNA from 1 species